rnacentral:rRNA from 1 species
CAGCCGCCGCGGUAAUACAGAGGGUGCGAGCGUUAAUCGGAUUUACUGGGCGUAAAGCGUGAGUAGGCGGCUUCUUAAGUCGGAUGUGAAAUCCCUGAGCUUAACUUAGGAAUUGCAUUCGAUACUGGGAAGCUAGAGUAUGGGAGAGGAUGGUAGAAUUCCAGGUGUAGCGGUGAAAUGCGUAGAGAUCUGGAGGAAUACCGAUGGCGAAGGCAGCCAUCUGGCCUAAUACUGACGCUGAGGUACGAAAGCAUGGGGAGCAAACAGGAUUAGAUACCCCCGUAGUCCCUGUCUCUUAUAC